AACGAACGCUGGCGGCAGGUUUAACACAUGCAAGUCGAACGGUUGCAGCAAUGCAGCAGUGGCAGACGGGUGAGUAACACGUGGGAACCUUCCUAGGGGUACGGAACAACUCAGGGAAACUUGAGCUAAUACCGUAUACGUCCGUGAGGAGAAAGAUUUGUCGCCCUUAGACGGGCCCGCGUCGGAUUAGCUAGUUGGUGGGGUAACGGCCUACCAAGGCGACGAUCCGUAGCUGAUCUUAGAGGAUGAUCAGCCACACUGGGACUGAGACACGGCCCAGACGCCUACGGGAGGCAGCAGUGGGGAAUCUUGGACAAUGGGCGCAAGCCUGAUCCAGCCAUGCCGCGUGAGUGAAGAAGGUCUUCGGAUUGUAAGCUCUUUUGCCAGGGACGAUAAUGACGGUACCUGGAGAAUAAGCCCCGGCAAACUUCGUGCCAGCCGCCGCCGUAACAC
rnacentral:rRNA from 1 species